ACAUAUACCUGCGUGCGAAAUAGGUGGGAGAGGUUGCUCCCAGGCCCGGGAUUUGUGCGAGGUGAAGUCUGUGGGGUAUGGAGGCCCUGUCGUCCUGACAGGCAGGGACAGCAGUGAGAAGGAAGGCCUGAGGGAAAGAGAGACAUCUCAUCGUGGGAGCUCCAGGGCAAACUCCCUCUCCACAGGCGCAGGAACAAUGUUCCCAGGCAAGCUUAAACAGAAGAGAGAGCAGAGCAAACACUCCAGCCCAGCUCAUCACUGGCUUCUGUACUGGAUUAAAACAAGACCAGAAUUCAGACCUCUCAUUGUAGGCUAUGUCUCAGUUUCUUGUCAGAAGGAGAUCCUGACAUGAGUCCUGUGUCUCUGCCCACUGAUUUUCCAGAAGGUGCUGGGUAGAAGGGAGCCAACAGACUCUCCAGCCUAUUUCCUGGACAUCCCAGGACAAGAGUCGUGUAACAGAGAGCAGCUGCCCCACAGCUGAAAUAUAACUGGAAUGCCUAAAUGGCUGAUAUCCACCCUCAUUUAGGAAACCUGCAGCAUAUCCAGGGCUCUGAUCACACAUUCCAGGACCUGAUGCAGGGCUUUAGCUACUCUUCUAUCAUUCACAUGAGUAGAGCUACCACACAGGACACAGACUAUCUUGGAAUUAAUUUCUUUUCACUACAGUAACACACUUCAGCAUCACAUCUUGGUGUUCUCAGGCAUCCCAGGAGAGUUGCACAGCGCUGGCUACCAAGAGAUGCUCAGUUGUUCCACUUUUAAGUGUCCUUGUGCCCAUUAUAACAUUGUAAUAAAAAUAACCAGAAGCGGGUACGUGUUCCCAGCAGGCAUCAGUGAUUCAUAGCAAACUGUACAAACCAAUGCAUGACAUAGAUAAAGGCAUUUGAAGCCCCAAGACACAACUGUGGUGUGUGUGCACCAGGACUACGUCACCAGGAACCAGAGGACUGCAAAAGCUUAUCCCCCACAGCAGGCAACAGUAACUCAGUGGGACAGGUCACAUUUGUAAUCAGCCAGAGCCCGUCCUUCUCCUGCAGAGAAACUCAAAGCAGAGAGCAGAAAAGUAGAAAAGCUCUGAGAGGCAGCCUGGACAAUGUUGUCUGAAGGUUUCCUACAAGGAAUAUGGACAGUUUAAGCCAUGACAGCCAAGGCACUGUAGAAACAAAGGGAUUUUAUCUCUCCCCAGAGGAUGUUAUCUCUCCCAAAGGAUGCUAACUCUCCCAAAGGAUGUUUGCUCUCCCGAAGGAUUUUAGCUCUCCACUUGCAGACCUGUGACUCCCCUGGGGAAGGGAAUAUCUUGAUCACAGUCAUCAUACCUACUUGGGUUUUUGUUUCCUUUUGUUUGUUUGUUUGUUUGUUUUUUACUGGAGACAAAGGUUGAGUGGCUUUUGUCCCUCUUCCCCAGGGCGACCUCACAGACAUGGCAAGUUACAGUGCAGGGAAAAGCUGGAUCAGGGAGGUUAAUAAAUGUGCCACACUGGAGAAACAAAGUAUUUUAUAUCCAGUGGGGUGUUCAUGACAUGAGAGCAGUUACACCAUCUCAGACCUAAAAAUGAGCUCUACUCGUUUCAGAGGGAACACUCUUGUUUACUAAAGUGAGAAUCCAACCCACUGAAAUGAUUUCUCAUUUAAAUGUAGUGCAACUGCAGGAGAGUCAAACCCAGCUAGUGCAGUUCUGGAGGUCUGAGGAAAGGGAACUGGUGACAUUUGUAGCUGGAAUGUGAGAGGGCAGUGCUAAUCUGGAC